AUGGAGAUUUGUCACAUUGGUCAAGUUUCACUUAAUUCCCCUAGUCUUCAACGUGAUCUUGUUCUCAAGGAUGUUCUCCAUGUUCCCCAAGCUGACAAAAAUCUUGCCUCUAUGUCUCGUUUAGCCACCGAUAAUGAUGUCUUCUUUGAAACCCACCCUCGCUAUUUUUUCAUUAAGGAUCAGGCAACGAGGGCACCUCUCUAUCACGGUAGAUGCGUCGGCGGCCUCUACCCCAUCUCCUCCGGAGCUCUUAGCAACAAGCAUCGUCGCGUCUACUCCAUCGUCAAGCCUUCCUUCGAGCGGUGGCAUCAAAGAUUAGGACAUCCCUCCUCAAUCAUAGUUCGGCAAGUAGUCAAUAAAGACAAACUUCCUUUGUCACAUAGUUCAAACAAAGAGUCUGUUUGUGAAGCAUGUCAAUGCGCCAAGAGCCAUCAGCUUCCCUAUCCUAAGUCUACUAGUGUGCCUCAUGCCCCAUUACAAUUGAUCUUCAGUGAUGUAUGGGGUCAUGCUCGAGAUUCUUUUGGUCUAAAAAAAUAUUAUGUUAGCUUUACUGAUGAUUACAGCAAGUUCACAUGGAUUUAUUUACUUAAGUAUAAAUCCGAAGUCUUUUCAAUCUUCCAAGAGUUUCAGAAGCUAGUUGAGCGCCACUUUGAUAGGAAAAUUAUUGCAGUCCAAAGUGACUGA
rnacentral:rRNA from 1 species